rnacentral:rRNA from 1 species
CCUACGGGUGGCAGCAGUGGGGAAUAUUGCACAAUGGGCGCAAGCCUGAUGCAGCCAUGCCGCGUGUGUGAAGAAGGCCUUCGGGUUGUAAAGCACUUUCAGCGGGGAGGAAGGCGGUGAGGUUAAUAACCUCAUCGAUUGACGUUACCCGCAGAAGAAGCACUGGCUAACUCCGUGCCAGCAGCCGCGGUAAUACGGAGGGUGCAAGCGUUAAUCGGAAUUACUGGGCGUAAAGCGCACGCAGGCGGUCUGUCAAGUCGGAUGUGAAAUCCCCGGGCUCAACCUGGGAACUGCAUUCGAAACUGGCAGGCUAGAGUCUUGUAGAGGGGGGUAGAAUUCCAGGUGUAGCGGUGAAAUGCGUAGAGAUCUGGAGGAAUACCGGUGGCGAAGGCGGCCCCCUGGACAAAGACUGACGCUCAGGUGCGAAAGCGUGGGGAGCAAACAGGAUUAGAUACCCCUGUAGUC